rnacentral:rRNA from 1 species
UGGGGAAUAUUGGACAAUGGGGGCAACCCUGAUCCAGCCAUGCCGCGUGUGUGAAGAAGGCCUUUUGGUUGUAAAGCACUUUAAGCAGGGAGGAGAGGCUAAUGGUUAAUACCCAUUAGAUUAGACGUUACCUGCAGAAUAAGCACCGGCUAACUCUGUGCCAGCAGCCGCGGUAAUACAGGAGGGUGCGAGCGUUAAUCGGAAUUACUGGGCGUAAAGCGAGUGUAGGUGGCUCAUUAAGUCACAUGUGAAAUCCCCGGGCUUAACCUGGGAACUGCAUGUGAUACUGGUGGUGCUAGAAUAUGUGAGAGGGAAGUAGAAUUCCAGGUGUAGCGGUGAAAUGCGUAGAGAUCUGGAGGAAUACCGAUGGCGAAGCAGCUUCUGGCAUAAUAUUGACACUGAGAUUCGAAAGCGUGGGUAGCAAACAGGAUUAGAUACCCUGGUAGUCCACGCCGUAAACGAUGUCUACUAGCCGUUGGGGUCCUUGAGACUUUAGUGGCGCAGUUAACGCGA